rnacentral:miRNA from 1 species
UAUUAGGUUGGUGCAAAAGUAAUCAUGGUUUUUGCCAUUACUUUUAAUGCCAUUAACUGCAUUUUAAUGGCAUUUAAAUGCAUAAAUUUCAUUU